rnacentral:ncRNA from 1 species
CUCUAGUCGAUGGACAAUGUAGGUAAGGGAAGUCGGCAAAACGGAUCCGUAACCUGGGAUAAGGAUUGGCUCUGAGGACUGAGCCGGUCGGGCUGGGGACCUGAAGCAGGAACGGCACUGCACCGGGACUGGGCGGGGCUCGCCGUUCACGCGGCGCGGCCAAGCCCGGACCAGCGUCGGGACCUUCCUGUGGAAAGCCUCAGCUGCGCGGCGUCUGAGGGCUUCGUGCCCAAAGUGCUAUGCUUCGGCCGGCAAAAAACAGUCAACUCAGAACUGGCACGGACCGGGGGAAUCCGACUGUCUAAUUAAAACAAAGCAUUGCGAUGGCCGCUGGUCGGUGUUGACGCAAUGUGAUUUCUGCCCAGUGCUCUGAAUGUCAACGUGAAGAGAUUCAUCAAAGCGCGGGUAAACGGCGGGAGUAACUAUGACUCUCUUGUGGUAGCCAAAUGCCUCGUCAUCUAAUUAGUGACGCGCAUGAAUGGAUUAACGAGAUUCCGUCCAGAUCCAUAAUUCGACCAUAGAACUGUUAAAACAUCAAGCAUCAUGUAAAAAGAACUUUCAACAACCAUCGUCAACUAGCCCGAAACGCCACUCAAGAGAAGUCAUCAGAGAAGAACUGGGGGGGAGGGAGAUACAUUUUAGUAAUUGUUUAGUCCAGGAAGUAGCAUGUAAAAGGGGGAGGGAUUUUAGAAAAGGCUUUCAUUAGUGUGUACAUUGAUAUGUAUAUAUUUUUCUUUAUAUCUUUCACACAUUUCACUUAAAUUUUACGUCUUUUUAUGUUUUUACCCUAUAUAUGUAUGUUUGCAAUUUUGUUUUUCCUUUUUUUUAUAUUUUUGCCUUAUAUAUGGGUGUGUAUGGUUUUGUGUGUAUGUAUGUAUGUGUGUAUGUACAUGUCUAUGUAUAUAUACACAUAUAUAUAUAUAUAUAUAUAUAUAUAUAU